UGGGGCGAGUUGAGGUGCCGGGCAGGUGGCCACGCGCGAGUCCACUCUUACUGCAGACGUGACCGAGGUGGGUGAGCCGGGACGUAGUGAAGGGUAUGGCGUGGUGGUGGCGGCGGCGGUGACGACGGCAGCGGCGGUGGCGACGGCAGCGGCGGUGGCGACGGCAGCGGCGGUGGCGACUUGGGUGUCUUCAACAGGCAAAGUUAACUGUUGAAGACAAGUGUAGCGAGUGUCGGCGCUUGUGUCGGGAGUUCUGAGCACGGCUGUGUCAAUGGAGAUACCGUGAACACACACAGGAAGAUUUAAGAAGUAGGAUGAUGCCACAUAGACAGACAGACAGGUGUGGAAGAAGUGCUGGCAUACUGGAGGUCAAGAGUCACGUGUUGAGUCAUAAAGGUCACCAAGAGAGGUCAUCCACUCAACCCCACUCUGCCAGUCCAGACGCAACACUGUCAUGAAGAUUUGCCUCAAGCUGUUUGCCCCUGUCUGCCUGUCUGUCUGUCUGUCUGUCUGUCUGCCUGCCUGUCUGUCUGUCUGUCUGUCUGUCUGUCUGUCUGCCUGUCUGUCUGUCUGUCUGCCUGCCUGUCUGUCUGCCUGCCUGCCUGUCUGUCUGUCUGUCUGUCUGUCUGUCUGUUCUGUCUGUCUGUGUCUGCCUGCUUGCCUGCCUGCCUGCCUGCCUGCCUGCCUGCCUGUCUGUCUGUCUGUCUGUCUGUCUGUCUGUCUGUCUGUCUGUCUGUCUGUCUGUCUGUCUGCCUGCCUGCCUGUCUGCCAAUUAAUGAUCUGUGUAUUCUGUUAUACUUGUGAAUACUGUAUGUGUGUGUGUGUGUGUGUGUGUGUGUUGUAUUGUUGUGUAAAGUAUAUUAUUGAUUGUAUAGCACAUGUAUGGGCUGGCCAGACCUGAUGUACUGUGACAACCAAAAUCUUGACAUAUACUGCUUGAUAAAUGAAAAGUAAAAAUAGAUAAAUAAAAUAAAAAUUUUGUGCCAAACUAAUGAGGUCUUUCUCUGGUCUUUUUCAGAGGUGCGUAUGUCUGCGAGUCAGCCCAACCAAAACCUCUUGUAUCUUGCCUUAUUCUGAUAAUAGGUUCAGUUAGGUUAUUUAGUGUGGGGGUCUCUUUUUCCUUACUAACAAAAUUAACAACCUGUCCCUUCCUUCUCGUCAAGCUGUCCGUGGGAGAUGCCCCGAGACUCUCAGGUGUUUCUCAAGCAUCCACUGCCAGUGUGCUAGGUCACCUUGAUAGUCAGACGGGGCUCACUCAACUGUUGCAGUGUUCGUGUUGCAGUGUUGCAGACUUUCACCCAAACAAGGGGAGUAUUGUUUAUUAAUUGCAUUGAUUUUGUAUAUAUAUUGCUUGAUGGGAGGUGGAUGGUUGGCGGGUGGGUGGGGGGAUCUGAGGGUACCUAUGUAGGGUGUGUGUGUGUGUGUCUGUCUGUCUGUCUGUCUGUCUGUUUUUUUUUUUUUUUGUGUGUGUAUUUUUUUUUAUAUAUAUGUGUGUGUGUGUGUGUCUGUCUGUUUUUUUUGUUGUUUGUGUGUGCGUGUGUGUGUGUGUGAGUGUAUUUUAUGUGUGUGUAGGUAUAGGUAUAGGGCCAGAAUCUUAGAAUAUUUGACUUAGGUUAAUAGAAGAGUGGUAGGUUAAUAGAAGAGUGGUAAGUUGAUGUUAUUUAUGAAAGGGUUAAGUAAGGCAUAGAGAGAGACAGAGAGCUACUGAUAGGAUUAGGAUGAUAGGGAGUGUGAAUGGUUAGCUCAGAUUAUAUGGAGUGCUUCAUUCCAUAUAAUCAGAGCUUGUGUGGCAUGCUGCACUGUUGCAUACAAGUAUCUUCUUAUUUCUGUAGUGGUGGUGGUGCUGGUGGUAGUGGUGGUGGUGGUGGUGGCACGUUAUGAAUGAUAUUUUUUUGUUUUUUUUUUUGGUUCGGGGGUAUAUAGUGUUUAUAGAUAUAUAUAUAUAUAUUUUUUUUUACCCAGAUCUUUUGGUAAGAGGUCUGGGUUUAUGUAUGGAUGUAUGUACGUGUCUGGCCAGUAUUUGGUAAGAUGCUGGCUGGAUUGUGUGUCCAUGCGUGUGUGUGUGUGUGUGCGUGUGUGUGUAUGUAUGUAUGUAUGUAUGUACGUGUCUGGCCAGUAUUUGGUAAGAUGCUGGCUGGAUUGUGUGUCCAUGCGUGUGUGUGUGUGUGUGUGUGUGCGUGUGUGUGUAUGUAUGUAUGUAUGUAUGUACGUGUCUGGCCAGUAUUUUGGUAAGAUACUGGCUGGAUUGUGUGUGUGUGUGUGUGUGUGUGUGUGUGUGUGCGCAAUUUUCUUCUUUUAGGUUAACUAAUUAGUUAAAUAAAUAAAUAAAUGAGAAAAUAAAUAAAUAAAUAAAUGAGAAAAUAGGUAAAAGUAAUAAUAAGAAAAUUUGAAAGUAAAUAAAUAUAUAAAUAAAAAUAUAGGAAUAUUUAUGAGGUGGGGGAGCAGAAGGGGGGGUGGGUAAGCAAGAUUAGGAGUGCUGGUAGAAGUAGGGGGUGAAGGGGCGGGUGAGGAAGCUGUAUGGAUGACCACAAUAGGGGGGGUGGGUUGGGGUAGGAUGUGGGUGAUAUAUAAUUUGCUAAUAUUUGAACCCUUUAUAUACCGACAUGCAUACUGACACAUUUCUCUCAGACAGAUAAGCCUGGCUGGUGAGAGAGAGAGGGAGUGGGGGGUUCUGUUUCAUUAUAAUGUGGAUGAGGGGACAAGAGAGCCAGUGUUCCAAGUACCACCACCAUCACCACUGCCACCACCACCACCACCAUCAGGAGCACAGAUUCACUGAAGUCUCUACCAAGAUUUCUUUGAGUUUUUUGAUAAAUUUAACUUCCAGGAGAGAGAGAGAUGCUGAUUGUUAAAGGCAGUGUGUGAAGCCUGCCCACUGUCUUUGUAUAUACAGAAGGUGGAAUUUGAGUCGGCCAAGCCUCAGAAAUGCAGGAAGGAUUAGCGGUGAUGACUGCAGGCUGCCAUCGACCCGCAGGUGUGAUGGUGCCCGACCAGCUGGUACACAUCAGUGAGAUGGUGGUGGUGCUGGAAAACAGCUGGUUUGCCAAGUGCAGCGUCAGGCAGGCCGCCCGCCCACACAGUCACCAGAAGGAUCACAGGUCAUCACAGGAAUCAAAUGCAGCAUCAGUAUGGCUCACCAAACACUUCCCCUCACACUGGUGGUGUUGACCUGCCUUGUGAACACCUGAUCUCCUGUGCUCCUGUCCUUCACAGCUCUCCAGGUGACAUCAGAUGUGGAUGAGGGGACAAGAGAGCCAGUGUUCCAAGUACCACCACCAUCACCACUGCCACCACCACCACCACCAUCAGGAGCACAGAUUCACUGAAGUCUCUACCAAGAUUUCUUUGAGUUUUUUGAUAAAUUUAACUUCCAGGAGAGAGAGAGACAGAGAUGAUUGUUACUGGCAGUGUGUGAAGCCUGCCCACUGUCUUUGUAUAUACAGAAGGUGGAAUUUGAGUCGGCCAAGCCUCAGAAAUGCAGGAAGGAUUAGCGGUGAUGACUGCAGGCUGCCAUCGACCCGCAGGUGUGAUGGUGCCCGACCAGCUGGUACACAUCAGUGAGAUGGUGGUGGUGCUGGAAAACAGCUGGUUUGCCAAGUGCAGCGUCAGGCAGGCUGCCCGCCCACACAGUCACCAGAAGGAUCACAGCACAUCUCCCGUCAGGUCUUGGGAGCACCGGGUGUUGUUCGGCAGGAAGGAGGCCAGGUUGUUAGGGCACGGCCUCACCCCACUGUCGCACACACCCACAGGCAUGAGGGGUGCCAGCCAGCAGGCCACGUCCCCAACACAGCUCCCACCUGCAUCCUGACCUCAUUCAGCAUCAACACCAGCCACACAGAAAAGUGAUGCUCCUGCAACAGCUGACGUUUACCUUUGCCAGUCACCUCGUCCAUGCUGAACUGCUCCACCAGCACCUUUGAAGCAGCUGUCCUACAUCCUCCUGGAAGCAACAGCAUACAGUCAUCACAGGAAUCAAAUGCAGCAUCAGUAUGGCUCACCAAACACUUCCCCUCACACUGGUGGUGUUGACCUGCCUUGUGAACACCUGAUCUCCUGUGCUCCUGUCCUUCACAGCUCUCCAGGUGACAUCAGCUGAGUGCAGCUGUCGGUGACUGCAGGAAUGGACCUCAGAUGGUGGAUACAGCAUUACCAAGUCAAGAAGGAGACACUGUGAUGUGGCUGCAGGUGGAUAGAUACCAGGAUAUGUGACCACCACCACCACCACCACCACCACCACCAUUGGAGAUGCCCCUCUGUAGUUGCACAUUACGGCCCUGUUGUGUACCCUGGUGGCCUUCAUAGUUGACCGGCAUACCCUUGGCCUCCAUGUCCAUCCAGCAGGAGGAAGAUGUUCUGGACACCUGGUUCUCCUCUUGCCUGUUUCCUUUUGCCUCGCUGGGCUGGCCAGGUCUGGGGAGGAGAGAGACCAUGCCUGACCUUGCUCGCUUCUACCCAACGACCUUGGUGGAGACGAGUCACGACAUCCUCUUCUUCUGGGUGAUUCAGAUGGUCAUGCUGGGACUCAACCUGACGGGGAGGCUUCCCUUUGAGAUCGAGCCGUGGUGGUGGUGACUGGCAGGCUAGCACAGAGACUGGACCGUGGACGCCAGCGCUGUGUGGUGGUGCGGGUCACAGUGCCACAGCCAGGCCAGGUCACCCUACACGACCUGACCUUGCCUCAUGGGUUGUACCAGGUCAGGGUUGUCAAAAUGGUUGAGACAAGACAGCUGGAUGAGGUCACUGAUGGAGGAAGAAGAGGAGGAGGAGGAGGGGAAGAAGAAGAAGGAAGAGGAGGAGGAGGAGGAGGAGGAGGAGGAGGAGGAGGAGGAGGAGGAGGAGGAAGGAUAAUCGUCAAAAAGCAUCAGUUUUUUGUACCCACAGAGAGGCGGAGAGAGAGGAUCCUGGUGAGAAACAGAAGGCACAACAAGAUCACCACGUCUCAGCCCAGCAGGCAGUGGCUUCAGCUGUCUAACACUGACCUCAUCCUACGGAAAUACAGCGCACAGGAGAGACGACAAGAAAAUUCGACCUACGGAAGAAUUACUGGCGACGGGAGGGGAGGAAGAGGCCCCUGUGUCUGCUGCAAUUGCUUUAGUUUCUUUCUAGAUUACAACAACAUGACGGCUGUGCUAACUUUCAACUACAGCCUCAAUGAAUCCUGCCAGGCUGUAUGCUCUAGAACUGUGUAACUUUGAAGAAGUUACAGGUCCCCGGCACGCCUGCCUGGUUCAUGGCCGCAUCACACAAGACCAAGGUUGUAGCCAAGAACAUCUCCAGAAUUGCUCUCAUCUCAGAGGAGGCGACCAAAUACACCGCACAACAAACAACUGUACGAGCUCCGCAAGACAAGCCUGGCUCGGGUGAUCUGCGACAACAGUGACAAGCUACAGUACGUCCAGCCCAAAGUAAUGCUGGAGGCCGACUCUUUCCUUGGCUUGGCAGAGGAGAGAACAGAUCAACCAAGCAACGUCCUUCACUGACGGGUCGGUGAUCUACGGGUCCAGCAAGGAGGAGAGCGACGAGCUGCGUGCCUUCUCUGGCGGCCUCCUGAAGGUGCAGCGCUGCCCGGCAAACACCCAGA